rnacentral:rRNA from 1 species
GAUGAACGCUAGCGGCAGGCUUAAUACAUGCAAGUCGAGGGGCAGCAUGAUUGUAGCAAUACAAUUGAUGGCGACCGGCAAACGGGUGCGGAACACGUACACAACCUCCCAAUAAGUGGGGAAUAGCCCAGAGAAAUUUGGAUUAAUACCCCGUAACAUAACGAUGUGGCAUCACAUUGUUAUUAUAGAUUUUUCGCUUAUUGAUGGGUGUGCGGCUGAUUAGAUAGUCGGCGGGGUAACGGCCCACCAAGUCUACGAUCAGUAGCUGAUGUGAGAGCAUGAUCAGCCACACGGGAACUGAGACACAGGCCCGACUCCUACGGGAGGCAGCAGUAAGGAAUAUUAGACAAUGGACGCAAGUCUGAUCCAGCCAUGCCGCGUGAAGGAUUAAGGUCCUCUGGAUUGUAAACUUCUUUUAUAAGGGACGAAAAAAGGCUUUUCUAAGUCGUCUGACGGUACCUUAUGAAUAAGCACCGGCUAACUCCGUGCCAGCCGCCGCCGUAAUAC